UCACGGACCUAGAGGCCCAGCCCUACGAGGUGGGGUGGAGGGUCAGGAGGAGGCUUGCAGAGGAGGGCUAGUAGAGGAGGGGAGAUGUUGGGGGCGCCCUGACUCCCCCUGCCACGCCCCUUCCAGGCCGUGUUCCUCCGGGCUGUGAAGCUCUACAACAGCGGGGAUUUCCGCAGCAGCACGGAGGACAUGGAGCGGGCCUUGGCAGACUACCUGGCAGUCUUUGCCCGGUGCCUGGCCGGCUGUGAAGGGGCCCAUGAGCAGGUGGACUUCAAGGACUUCUACCCGGCCAUAGCAGGUAUCCGCCACCCAGACCACGGUGGGCGGUCCUCUCACCCACAGGGCCCGGUAAGGCAGAUGUCCCCUUCAUGCACGUGGAGCACUGCGAAUGCGGAGGAGCCAGCCGGGAGGAAGGCCUUGUCUGUUGAGAAAGACGCUGGGUGCAGGGGCCCCAGCUGGGAGUGUCCAAGGGGCUGGAUCAGAGGCCAUGCUCUACCACAACCAGACCGCCGAGCUGCGGGAGCUGCUGGAGUUCA
rnacentral:sRNA from 1 species